rnacentral:lncRNA from 1 species
GACACCAAACGGGAGCAGAGUCACCACAAAGGCCACAGCUCUGAGCACGGAGAAAGGUCUUCUUGAGACUUCCUCUGAAGCUCAGUGAAUGAUCUGUUCUCAGCGGUAAGGGAUUAAACAAAGGGCCAAUUGUCAAAAACCCCAGCCAGGGACCAGCCAAGCUUCCUGUGCAGCCAUGAGUGCCUGAGGCGGCCUUUUGUUCUGAGAGGACACCACAUAGCCUCCGCCUCCCCUGGAGUCAGAAAACCAGUCAAGCAGGAAAGCACUGUUGAGAACCUACUCUGUGGAAGGUGCUGGGGGAACACAGAGAGGAAGGCCACCCAGAGCCCAGAAAACAGAGGCAACCGGCCAGUGUUUGCCAAAUGAAGGCUGACGGAGCUGAAUGCUUUGGUGAGAGAGGAAGGAGAUUACGCAUGUGCAAAACAUGGCAUCCGCUUUAAUAAACAGCGAUUCCACAAGCAUGUAUUCCAAGGGGAGACUGACAGUCCGUCCUGCCCUCACGCUCCACUUUGAAAAUAACAACAGCAAAGCAUAAGAAAAGGCUCUGUUCUAGGUGCUGGAGUACAUAUGACAGUGUUCCUGCCUACAGAGUGCCUACAGCCCAGAGGAGACGGAUAAGAAAAUAGAUGAUAACCGUGCCGUACAGC